UUGGCAGAGAUGCCUUAGUGCCUUCGGGAACCGUGAGACAGGUGCUGCAUGGCUGUCGUCAGCUCGUGUUGUGAAAUGUUGGGUUAAGUCCCGCAACGAGCGCAACCCUUAUCCUUUGUUGCCAGCGGUCCGGCCGGGAACUCAAAGGAGACUGCCAGUGAUAAACUGGAGGAAGGUGGGGAUGACGUCAAGUCAUCAUGGCCCUUACGAGUAGGGCUACACACGUGCUACAAUGGCAUAUACAAAGAGAAGCGACCUCGC
rnacentral:rRNA from 1 species